rnacentral:lncRNA from 1 species
GCAAAGGCACACCAAGAGCUGACCCCAUCCUGGUCCUUGUUUCUGUCUCCCACGCUAGCUGGCUUUCUGUGGCGAAUGCAGAGCACCGGAGCAGCCUCGGGAGAACAGCUGGAGAAAGUGCACAGGAAGAUAAAUUAAUAGGAACUCAGCGUAGCAGCAAAUUCUAGCGCACAGCGCUCAGCUGACCCGUUAAAUGAGCAAUCCUGUUAAAUACGUUAAUCAGCACGGUUUAAAAAACCCAUGGGAAUGCUGUGGAAGAUACUUCGAGUCGAAACUGCACUCUGCACCGCUGUGGUCUGCAUCCUGCAGGUUCUUGGAUAAUAGUCUUUCUUUGCUUUAGCUCUUAAGAGAAUGGUUUGGGGGCUGCCAGACUUCGGAAAGCAGGUGUUCAGGAGCAUGGCUGAUGAGCCUGAGGUUUAAGGAAGAGGGAUCACAGUUCUGGGUCUGGCUGUGAGACCAUCCCUACUUCCCAGAAUGUCACCUGCCUCUCCUAAGGCCUGGAGGACAGGAGAACCCUGAGAGUUCAGGAUCUUUAACACAGGUGGGACUGGAAAAGACUUCUCUUAGGUAUUGGGGAGCUUAAUUAUAACUAAAAUUAGGUAAGCUGGUGACCUUCGUCUUUAAAAACAUUAAGUUAUGACCUGCAUGGAACCAAGUAGGUUCAUAGCCGGCUGGACUAGUUAUUUUGUUCAGUGGAUGAAACUGGGGACCGUAAAAGCUGAAAAACUCUGCCUUCCUGACUUUCCACACCUGCACGGAGCUGAAUGCUCGCCUCAACCCUUUAUGGCGGCUUAGACUGGGAACGACGCUAGACGGCGCUGCAGCGACACGCUUCCCUUCUCCCGGGAAAGGUUCCUCCCAAAGUCCAUGGAAGCUUCUCCGAACUCCAGGAAUCUUCCGAACUUCCCUGGCAUCCUCGUUGGCUAAGGACUUGGAGUGGAGGGAACCUGGUGGGAGACUGUGCCCACGGCUUAGGAGACACGGUGUUCCAAACGCUUCAUUCAUCCCACUCAUCUUUGGGCAGCUUUACUGAGCACCCUGGAAGCCUCUGCUCUUCUGAACUCGGCUUUCCAUCUCGCCCUGCACAUGGAUCUACAUGCCUGAGACCUACUGGACCUUGCUGGUUGUUUUGCAAAACUCAGGUAAGGAAGACACUAACCGCACGCGCGGGGCAGAGAGUUGGCUCUUGUGGGAUAGGCACUGUCGGGGUCAUCUGGGAGG